AGAGGUCGCUUCAAACGAUCUGGUGAGGAAUUGCGAGAACCGAGGGCUGCACAUGGCUCACGGCUCAUCCCCAGACGAUGCUGCCUUCUGCACGUUAUUUACCUCCACCUUCAGCGUCUUGGGAGACCCCACCGAAAGGAAGAACUCCAACGUCUCUCUGAAGAAAGCCGCGGAGGGAUUUGCCUCCAUCCUGGAGCAGUCGCCCUCCUGGUCCAACCUGAGCACGAAGCAGCUCUCCGCCAUGGCCACCGUCUUCCUGGAGAA